AUGCAUCAGCUCCUUUUGUGUCAAAUGUUUCAUUGUAACAGCCAGUGCAAACUUGAACAAUGUGUGCUUAUAUUUAACUAUCAAUACACUGGUAGUUAUUUUCUUUAUUCUAUAUACUCAGUUCUUGAUGAAAUUAAAUGCCUCUAUUUGUGCCUUUUUUGUUGUUUGCCUGCGUUUAGAAGUGCAAACUUCCAAGCUAAUAUCCUUUAA
rnacentral:rRNA from 1 species